rnacentral:snoRNA from 1 species
AACCCAUGGUGAGGGCACCUUCUCAAUAGAUCCUUGUAUCUCUCUCAUGCAUCGUAUAGUGUUUCUAAAUUCAUCUGCACAAAAGAGGAGAUAUUAUUACAUAAUUU